UACAGAGGGUGCAAGCGUUAAUCGGAAUUACUGGGCGUAAAGCGUGCGCAGGCGGUUUUGUAAGCCAGAUGUGAAAUCCCCGGGCUUAACCUGGGAAUGGCAUUUGGGACUGCAAGGCUGGAGUGUGGCAGAGGAGACGUGGAAUUCCCGGUGUAGCAGUGAAAUGCGUAGAUAUCGGGAGGAAUACCGAUGGCGAAGGCAGGUCGUCUGGGCUGACACUGAGCGUCAU
rnacentral:rRNA from 1 species